rnacentral:rRNA from 1 species
UACGAAGGGGGCUAGCGUUGCUCGGAAUCACUGGGCGUAAAGCGCACGUAGGCGGCUUUCUAAGUCAGGGGUGAAAUCCUGGAGCUCAACUCCAGAACUGCCUUUGAUACUGGAGAGCUUGAGUCCGGGAGAGGUGAGUGGAACUCCGAGUGUAGAGGGGAAAUUCGUAGAUAUUCGGAAGAACACCAGUGGCGAAGGCGGCUCACUGGCCCGGUACUGACGCUGAGGUGCGAAAGCGUGGGGAGCGAACGGG